UGGUUAAAAAGCUCGUAGUUGGAUCUCGGCGGACUGAGGGCGGUUUGCUUGCUAGUAUUACUGCCCUAUAGUCCGUAGUUUUGCCAGAGGUUUCGGGGUGCUCUUAAUCGAGUGUCCCGGGAUGCUGGCAGGUUUACUUUGAAAAAAUUAGAGUGCUCAAAGCAGGCUAUUACGCCUGAAUAUUCGUGCAUGGAAUAAUAGAAUAGGAAGUCGUUUCUAUUUUGUUGGUUUUUGGAAAUCGACUUAAUGAUUAAUAGGGACAGUCGGGGGCAUUUGUAUUCAAACGACAGAGGUGAAAUUCUUGGACCGUUUGAAGACAAACUACUGCGAAAGCAUUUGCCAAGAAUGUUUUCAUUAAUCAAGAACGAAAGUUAAAGGUUCGAAGGCGAUUAGAUACCGCCCUAGUUUUAACCAUAAACGAUGCCAGCUAGCGAUCUGCGGACGUUUUUUUUGUAGACUCCGCAGGAAGCUUCCGGGAAACCAAAGCAUUUGGGUUCCAGGGGAAGUAUGGUUGCAAAGCUGAAACUUAAAGGAAUUGACGGAAGGGCACCACCAGGAGUGGAGCCUGUGGCUUAAUUUGACUCAACACGGGAAAUCUCACCAGGCCCGGACACUGGAAGGAUUGACAGAUUGAUAGCUC
rnacentral:rRNA from 1 species